ensembl:snoRNA
UGGGUCAGUGAUGACCUCUGGUGGCCUGAAAUCGUGGACAGUGAAUAUAUGUCUACAGCUCCGAGGUCCAC